rnacentral:tRNA from 1 species
GUCGUCCGCUCGAAGUGGGGGAUCUUCCCGAACCCCCGCACUCCUGGUGGAGUGGCCGAGAGGCGAGGCAACGGCC